rnacentral:rRNA from 1 species
UAACACAUGCAAGUCGAGGGGCAGCAUGGUCUUAGCUUGCUAAGGCCGAUGGCGACCGGCGCACGGGUGAGUAACACGUAUCCAACCUGCCGUCUACUCUUGGACAGCCUUCUGAAAGGAAGAUUAAUACAAGAUGGCAUCAUGAGUCCGCAUGUUCACAUGAUUAAAGGUAUUCCGGUAGACGAUGGGGAUGCGUUCCAUUAGAUAGUAGGCGGGGUAACGGCCCACCUAGUCUUCGAUGGAUAGGGGUUCUGAGAGGAAGGUCCCCCACAUUGGAACUGAGACACGGUCCAAACUCCUACGGGAGGCAGCAGUGAGGAAUAUUGGUCAAUGGGCGAGAGCCUGAACCAGCCAAGUAGCGUGAAGGAUGACUGCCCUAUGGGUUGUAAACUUCUUUUAUAAAGGAAUAAAGUCGGGUAUGGAUACCCGUUUGCAUGUACUUUAUGAAUAAGGAUCGGCUAACUCCGUGCCAGCAGCCGCGGUAAUACGGAGGAUCCGAGCGUUAUCCGGAUUUAUUGGGUUUAAAGGGAGCGUAGAUGGAUGUUUAAGUCAGUUGUGAAAGUUUGCGGCUCAACCGUAAAAUUGCAGUUGAUACUGGAUAUCUUGAGUGCAGUUGAGGCAGGCGGAAUUCGUGGUGUAGCGGUGAAAUGCUUAGGUAUCACGAAGAACUCCGAUUGCGAAGGCAGCCUGCUAAGCUGCAACUGACAUUGAGGCU